CCUACGGGUGGCUGCAGUGGGGAAUAUUGCACAAUGGGCGCAAGCCUGAUGCAGCCAUGCCGCGUGUGUGAAGAAGGCCUUCGGGUUGUAAAGCACUUUCAGCGGGGAGGAAGGCGGUGAGGUUAAUAACCUCAUCGAUUGACGUUACCCGCAGAAGAAGCACCGGCUAACUCCGUGCCAGCAGCCGCGGUAAUACGGAGGGUGCAAGCGUUAAUCGGAAUUACUGGGCGUAAAGCGCACGCAGGCGGUCUGUCAAGUCGGAUGUGAAAUCCCCGGGCUCAACCUGGGAACUGCAUUCGAAACUGGCAGGCUAGAGUCUUGUAGAGGGGGGUAGAAUUCCAGGUGUAGCGGUGAAAUGCGUAGAGAUCUGGAGGAAUACCGGUGGCGAAGGCGGCCUCCUGGACAAAGACUGACGCUCAGGUGCGAAAGCGUGGGGAGCAAACAGGAUUAGAUACCCCAGUAGUC
rnacentral:rRNA from 1 species